rnacentral:rRNA from 1 species
AGGAAAGCAGGGGAUCGCAAGACCUUGCGCUCUUGGAGCGGCCGAUGUCUGAUUAGCUAGUUGGUGAGGUAAAGGCUUACCAAGGCGACGAUCAGUAGCUGGUCUGAGAGGACGACCAGCCACACUGGGACUGAGACACGGCCCAGACUCCUACGGGAGGCAGCAGUGGGGAAUUUUGGACAAUGGGGGAAACCCUGAUCCAGCCAUGCCGCGUGAGUGAAGAAGGCCUUCGGGUUGUAAAGCUCUUUCAGCCGGAACGAAACGGUCACGGCUAAUACCUGUGACCACUGACGGUACCGGAAGAAGAAGCACCGGCUAACUACGUGCCAGCAGCCGCGGUAAUACGUAGGGCGCAAGCGUUAAUCGGAAUUACUGGGCGUAAAGCGUGCGCAGGCGGUUUUGUAAGUCAGAUGUGAAAUCCCCGGGCUUAACCUGGGAACUGCGUUUGAAACUACAAGGCU